AGCUCUGUGAGAGAAUCUUAAUAUCUACUUCCUCGUGAUCUUUCUUCUAUUUCCUCUCUGUUAAUCUCACUGCAUUAUCUUCUACACUUUUCUCAGGUUGAACCAAAGAUCGGAGAUAAAAUUCCUCAAAGAAAAAAGUCACGGUUCUUUUCUCUUUCGCUCUCUCGAGAUCUCAAACAAUUUUGAUCAGUUUCUUCUGCCGUGAUCCGCCAAAACACGUCAUCGUCGGCGAGGUUGGAAGGACUAACGUCUCCGGGAACGAUGCCUUCGCCGCGAUCUGCAACAAGUACGACCGAUACGACAUCUACAAGUAGAAAGACUCUAACGUCUCCGGUGCCGAUGCCUUCGCUCGCCUCUACUCCGCCAUCGAGUCCGACAUUGAAGCUGCUCUUCAGAAAGCGGAGCUUGCUUCAAAAGAAAAAAGUAUGGCAUCUGCAGGUGCUCUGACUGCCAAGAUUCCCGGACCAAGGCUCCAUUGCUUGAAGAGGUUCCCAAGUUGCAGAGAUUGGCUGUAAAGAAGGUUGGCCUCCACUGUUUGAAUCAAUUCUAUUUCCGUGCUUCUUCGUAAUUGUGCAUUUCAUAAAAUUGUUUGAUAAAUUGAUGUUUAGUGCAGUCCUCUGCAUAUAUGCUAGAACUUGUUUAGCGCUGGAAGGUGAUUUUGGAUGGGUAUUGAUUGGACAAAAGAUGAUUGCUUUUGAAGAGAAUUCUUGGCAGGAGUUCGAUUUGAGGUGCGGACCUACUUGGCAUUGCAUCGUCGUUCGCAAUUUCGGUAACUCCUUCAAUUUUCAGUUUCAUAUUCUGACCUGCUUUAUUUUUUUUUUAUUUUUUUUUUCUAUCGAGGUGUUUUGGUCAAGAUUUAGUAUGUGAUAGAAUUGAGUGAUGGUGAACAAAUCUAAUGGAUAGUGUUGUGCUUUAAGUAGCAAUUUUGAUGAGAAUGGAUAGAGCUGUUUAAGAAGGAAUAGAUCUAAGCUUUGUUUGAAAAUUUACAGUUUUUUAAGUUGACAAGUAGAAUGGUCUAAUGGAUAAUUCUACUUGGUUCUUCAAGCUUGACGAGUCUGAAAGUUGAAGAUAAUUAAAUCAUCAGGUCUUUUGACGGGUUCGGGUGCGGAUUCGAGUGAGUUUGGAUGAAUUCGAUUUACAUUUUCAAUUUCUGUUCUUGUUUCUGUUUGGAUGGCCUGGAAUUAAAGCAAGGAAAUUUUGGCGGUGGUUGUAGUCUGCUGGUUUAGUAGUGAAGAAGUUAGCUUUAGUUAUUGGUUUUGACUUGCAUUUUUGACAAGUGAGAGUUGAGUUUCAAGUAUCUUUAAAAUUUUGGUUAUUGUAGUUGUAGCUGAUUGUUUAUGCUGGCUUUGAUGGAGAAUGAGAAUAACUCUUGCUCGUGCACUCUUUAUAGAGCCUGACUUGUUACUGCUUGAUGAAGCCACAGUAUGUUGGUCAUAUCCUUUGGGAUUUUCAUUAGAAUUCUUUAAUGUUUGGCAUGUGUAUUUCAUUUAUAGAGGCAAGAUGAACUAUUAAGAUUACUGAGAAUUUAUGAAAGAUCUGGUUUUAGCAUAAUGAAAUAACAUCACAGCAUUAAGUACCUGGGCAUGUUUCAUGUUUUUUUUUUUUUUUGAAAACUUGCAUGUUUCAAUGUUUCAUGUAUUGAUGAUGUGCACAUGCACACACGGAUGUAUGGCUACUGCUUUGCAAUUGAGAUUUGUUGAAUUGUACCUAAUAUGUGAUACUUACAAUUUAAAUGUUGUGGUGUUUUUAUUCAAAAACUGAUCUUGUUGAUGCUUACAGUUUACAUGGUUGGUCAAGGAUCGGCUCAGGUGCCAAGGGAAAAUGGAUUUUUCCUAAAAGGUCAAGGAUUGGCUCACUUGUGAGAUGGUAUUUGUCAGAAAUUGCUGGAGCUGAAACCAAGAAUGCCUCAUGGAAUUUUUUGUAUAAAUUGUAUGAUGCACAAGUUGUUCUUUAUCAUUCAGGAGUACAACAAGAUGUUGAAGCCAAGCCAUGUGUCCCAAUAGUUUAUUAAUAGAUAAAAUGUCGUUUUUCUUUACUGACUAUAGAGCUCAAUUUUGCA